UACGUAGGGUGCAAGCGUUGUCCGGAAUUAUUGGGCGUAAAGAGCUCGUAGGCGGUUCGUCACGUCGGCUGUGAAAUCCCGAGGCUCAACCUCGGGUCUGCAGUCGAUACGGGCGGACUUGAGUACUGCGGGGGAGACUGGAAUUCCUGGUGUAGCGGUGAAAUGCGCAGAUAUCAGGAGGAACACCGGUGGCGAAGGCGGGUCUCUGGGCAGUAACUGACGCUGAGGAGCGAAAGCGUGGGGAGCGAACAGG
rnacentral:rRNA from 1 species